CGAUUGUCUCUGCAGGACUCUCGUCUGCACAGAAGUGACACCUGAACGUUACACAGACGGAGCAUCACAGGAAGGGCUCAUCUGAGGCCGUGAGCGUCUUCGUCGCCCCUGGGUGUCUGAGAGCAGAGCCGGGUCUGAGAUGGCGUUUGGUGGUUCACAGCUUCCGUAUCUCCUGGGUUUCUGUAGCUCCACCCCUUCCCUCCGUCACAGAGACGUCUUCUGACGGUGUGAACGCUCCAUCCUGAUGUGAUUUGGACAGUGUGACUGUGGGGUCGUGGCAGAUAUUCAGCAGGAAACCAGAAGUACUCGUCGAACAGUUCAGGGACCGAAGGCCGAACAAAGAAGGCCGUCUCAUUCAGCGGUAAGUAAACUCACUAUAAACUGCUAAAGUCAUCAGUGAUGUGCUUUGAGUGUGAGCACUACAAGAGGUAGAGAGGGAGGCGUGUGAUUGGUCCAUCAGAUUGUUUUGUGGCAGAGAUUGGUCAAAGUUUUUAGAGAUGUACAACUGAUACAGAUGAGGGAUUUUCUUUGGGACGUUGAUUUUUGGAUGAUU